UGGGGGUGGCACCUCCUUG
rnacentral:miRNA from 1 species